AUGAUAUGGGAGAUCCUCGCCCGCCUGCCCCCCAAAGCCCUCCUCCGCUGCCGUGCCGUCUGCCGUGCAUGGCGCCGCGUCACCUCCGUCCGCAACUUCCUCCUCGCCCACCACGGCCGCCAGCCCGCCCUACCCCUCGCCUCGCAACGCAUGAACUGCGGCAACAGCUACUACCAAAACAUCGUCACCUUCAACAAUCGGGCCACCGACGCCCAGGUCCAACACGUUGCCCGGGUGCAGCUUGCUGACACGAUCCGUCUAGAUGCCUCCUGCGACGGCCUCCUCCUUUUCACUGACAACUCGAUUAGUCAGCUCGCACAAAAUGGCAGCACGUAUGGCACCUGCUUUUCCAUCUGCAACCCGGCCACUCGUGAGCAUGCUCGUCUGCCCAUGCUUUCUGCCUUCCUCCCAUUCGGAAUGUACCGGCACCGUCCUACAAGUGAGUACCGGAUACUGCUCACUCAGGAAAAGGAUGAUCCUGUAACCAACGCCUUCUUUAUCUUUGUAUUGGGCUCAGCCCAGCCGCCGAGGAACAUCGGUGGGUGGCCGAGGGAGAUGGUGAGUGUCUGGGGGGAUGAUGUCCUGCUCCGCGGUAGCCUGCAUUGGCACCUACAGAAACAUGAGAGCAAAAGCAGCCAUAUAAUGGUAUUCGACACCACAGCCGAGUCGUUCCGUGAGAUGCGUGCUCCGGUGGUUCUUGAUCCUAAGCGUGCUAAUCUGUUUGAGAUGUAUGACAAGCUCGGCAUGUCAAUCUUUAAUGGUGAACUGAAAAUCAUUGAUAUCUGGAUGAUGCUGGAUUACGAAAGCGAGGUUUGGGCCUUAAAAUAUCGGGUUGAAUUGCCGGUAGCAUCUCUCAAUGUGCAGUUUGGUCAGAUUGUUGAAAAUCCGGAAGUGGCAGUCCACUCUUGCGAUGGUGAUGUGCUCGUGCUGGUCAGAUUUGGCGAGUGGCUACUUCACUUUGAUACCGAUAGCAGGUUGGUGGCCAGUUUCCAUCACGAAGGUCUCCUUCUUGGUCAACAUCGGCUCCAGGAAACUCUUGUUCCACAUACCUUCUUUACGACGCUAGACAGUUAUUCUGUGAAUUGUCAGUGCUUCUAA
rnacentral:rRNA from 1 species